UACGAGUGCCCCGAGCGUUAUCCGGAAUUAUUGGGCGUAAAGGGUCCGCAGGCGGACAUAUUAGUCUUUUGUUAAAUAUCCCGGCUCAACUGGGAAAAGGCAAGAGAAACGGUAUGUCUAGAGAAUGUGAGGGGUGUACGGAACUCAUAGUGUAGGGGUGAAAUCCGUUGAUAUUAUGGGGAACACCAAAAGCGAAGGCAGUACACUGGCACAUUUCUGACGCUGAGGGACGAAAGCAUGGGUAGCGAAUGGG
rnacentral:misc_RNA from 1 species